AUUGAACGCUGGCGGCAGGCCUAACACAUGCAAGUCGAACGAUGAUUAUCUAGCUUGCUAGAUAUGAUUAGUGGCGGAGGGGUGAGUAACAUGUAGGAAUCUAUCUAGUAGGGGGGGAUAGCUCGGGGAAACUAGAAUUAAUAGCGCAUAGGACCUACGGGUGAAAGGGGGCCCAAGCUCUUGCUAUUAGAUGAGCCUAAAUCGGAUUAGCUAGUUGGUGGGGUAAAGGCCCACCAAGGCGACGAUCUGUAACUGGUCUGAGAGGAUGAUCAGUCACACCGGAACUGAGACACGGUCCGGACUCCUACGGGAGGCAGCAGUGGGGAAUAUUGGACAAUGGGGGCAACCCUGAUCCAGCCAUGCCGCGUGUGUGAAGAAGGCCUUUUGGUUGUAAAGCACUUUAAGCAGGGAGGAGAGGAUAAUGGUUAAUACCCAUUAGAUUAGACGUUACCUGCAGAAUAGGCACCGACUAACUUCGUGCCAGCAGCCGCCGUAAGAC
rnacentral:rRNA from 1 species